rfam:Sphingomonas paucimobilis NBRC 13935 DNA, contig: SP604.
UGGGCGCGCGCGGGAGAGCGCCGGGUUCAUCUUUUAGGUGAGAAAAGCCCGGCCGCCGAAGGAGCAACCACCCCGGAAUCUCUCAGGCAAAUGGGACCGCGCGAUCGCC